rnacentral:rRNA from 1 species
GAGUUUGAUCAUGGCUCAGGAUGAACGCUAGCGGCAGGCUUAACACAUGCAAGUCGAGGGGUAUAGUUUUUCGGAACUAGAGACCGGCGCACGGGUGCGUAACGCGUAUGCAAUCUACCUUUUACAGGGGGAUAGCCCAGAGAAAUUUGGAUUAAUACCCCAUAGUAUAGCACUACCGCAUGAUAGUGUUAUUAAAGUUCCAACGGUAAAAGAUGAGCAUGCGUCCCAUUAGCUAGAUGGUAAGGUAACGGCUUACCAUGGCUACGAUGGGUAGGGGUCCUGAGAGGGAGAUCCCCCACACUGGUACUGAGACACGGACCAGACUCCUACGGGAGGCAGCAGUGAGGAAUAUUGGUCAAUGGACGCAAGUCUGAACCAGCCAUGCCGCGUGCAGGAUGACGGUCCUAUGGAUUGUAAACUGCUUUUGUACGAGAAGAAACACUCCUACGUGUAGGAGCUUGACGGUAUCGUAAGAAUAAGGAUCGGCUAACUCCGUGCCAGCA